AGGAGAUCUUGGUGGCCUCAGAUACUUCCUAGUUGUGUGACCCUGGGCAAGUCACUUAACCCCCCAUUGCCUAGCCUUUACCACAUUUCUGCCUUGGACUUGGUACUUAGUAUCCAUUCUAAGACAGAAAAUAAGGGGAAGAGAGAAAAACAGAAAGAGGAGAGACAGAGAUGGAGAGAGAGAAGAAGAAGAAGAAGAAGAAGAAGAAGAAGAAGAAGAAGAAGAAGAAGAAGAAGAAGAAGAAGAAGAAGAAAGAAAGAAAGAAAGAAAGAAAGAAAGAAAGAAAGAAAGAAAGAAAGAAAGAAAGAAAGAAAGAAAGAAAGAAAGAAAGAAAGAAAGAAAGAAAGAAAGAAAGAAAGAAAGAAAGAAAGAAAGAAAGAAAGAAAGAAAGAAAGAAAGAAAGAAAGAAAGAAAGAAAGAAAGAAAGAAAGAAAGAAAGAAAGAAAGAAAAAGAAAGAAAGAAAGAAAGAAAGAAAGAAAGAAAAAGAAAGAAAGAAAAAGAAAGAAAGAAAGAAAGAAAGAAAGAAAGAAAGAAAGAAAGAAAGAAAGAGAAAGAAAGAAGAGGGAG
rnacentral:lncRNA from 1 species